AUUGAACGCUGGCGGAAUGCUUUACACAUGCAAGUCGAGCGGCAGCACGGGGGCAACCCUGGUGGCGAGCGGCGAACGGGUGAGUAACACAUCGGAACAUGCCCAGUCGUGGGGGAUAACACUUCGAAAGAAGUGCUAAUACCGCAUACGUCCUGAGGGAGAAAGCGGGGGAUCGCAAGACCUCGCGCGAUUGGAGUGGCCGAUGUCAGAUUAGCUAGUUGGUGGGGUAAAGGCCUACCAAGGCGACGAUCUGUAGCUGGUCUGAGAGGAUGAUCAGCCACACUGGGACUGAGACACGGCCCAGACUCCUACGGGAGGCAGCAGUGGGGAAUUUUGGACAAUGGGGGCAACCCUGAUCCAGCCAUUCCGCGUGAGUGAAGAAGGCCUUCGGGUUGUAAAGCUCUUUCGGCAGGAACGAAACGGUGAGCUCUAACAUAGCUUGCUAAUGACGGUACCUGAAAAAGAAGCACCGGCUAACUACGUG
rnacentral:rRNA from 1 species